rnacentral:snRNA from 11 species
AUACUUACCUGGCGUGGAGGCUACCUUGAUCAAGAAGGAGGUUCCUCCAGGGUGAGGCCCUUCCAUUGCACUUAGGUUGGGUUCUUCUCGACCUAUGUCCUCGAACUUGAUUUCAGUUACAGGUGGUUCUUCCUGUC